AUCCUUUCAUAAGCAUGAUGACGGUGUUCACACCAAAGUGGGAGCCCUUGAGCCCUGUAAUGACCUCAGCACAGAACCCGUCUUGACC
rnacentral:snoRNA from 1 species